AGAUUUGUAUAAGUGACAGGCUUUUUUGUUUUGGCUAGUUUUUAGUGCAGCGACAAAGUUUUAAAGUAUGCCUAAGCAUGUAGAAGUUUAAGUGGUCAGAUUUUCGGACUGGGGUUCGAUUCCCCACGACUCCACCA
rnacentral:tmRNA from 1 species